GGGUUGCGGACAGUGUCUGGUGGGUAGUUUGACUGGGGCGGUCUCCUCCUAAAGAGUAACGGAGGAGCACGAAGGUUGGCUAAUCCUGGUCGGACAUCAGGAGGUUAGUGCAAUGGCAUAAGCCAGCUUGACUGCGAGCGUGACGGCGCGAGCAGGUGCGAAAGCAGGUCAUAGUGAUCCGGUGGUUCUGAAUGGAAGGGCCAUCGCUCAACGGAUAAAAGGUACUCCGGGGAUAACAGGCUGAUACCGCCCAAGAGUUCAUAUCGACGGCGGUGUUUGGCACCUCGAUGUCGGCUCAUCACAUCCUGGGGCUGAAGUAGGUCCCAAGGGUAUGGCUGUUCGCCAUUUAAAGUGGUACGCGAGCUGGGUUUAGAACGUCGUGAGACAGUUCGGUCCCUAUCUGCCGUGGGCGCUGGAGAACUGAGGGGGGCUGCUCCUAGUACGAGAGGACCGGAGUGGACGCAUCACUGGUGUUCGGGUUGUCAUGCCAAUGGCACUGCCCGGUAGCUAAAUGCGGAAGAGAUAAGUGCUGAAAGCAUCUAAGCACGAAACUUGCCCCGAGAUGAGUUCUCCCUGAGACUUAGAGUCUCCUGAAGGAACGUUGAAGACGACGACGUUGAUAGGCCGGGUGUGUAAGCGCAGCGAUGCGUUGAGCUAACCGGUACUAAUGA
rnacentral:rRNA from 1 species